UACGUAGGGACCGAGCGUUGUCCGGAAUCAUUGGGCGUAAAGAGCGUGUAGGCGGCCUUUUAAGUCCUGCGUGAAAUCCUGCGGCUCAACCGCAGACGGUCGUGGGAAACUGGAAGGCUAGAGUGCGGGAGAGGAGAGUGGAAUUCCCGGUGUAGCGGUGAAAUGCGCAGAUAUUGGGAGGAACACCAGUGGCGAAGGCGGCUCACUGGACCGGAACUGACGCUGAGGCGCGAAAGCUAGGGGAGCAAACAGG
rnacentral:rRNA from 1 species